AACUUUCAACAACGGAUCUCUUGGUUCUGGCAUCGAUGAAGAACGCAGCGAAAACGAUAAGUAAUGUGAAUUGCAGAAUUCAGUGAAUCAUCGAAUCUUUGAACGCACAUUGCGCCCUCUGGUAUUCCGGAGGGCAUGCCUGUUCGAGCGUCAUAA
rnacentral:rRNA from 1 species